rnacentral:lncRNA from 1 species
AUCCCGGGCCGGAACAUCCGGAACCUGGAGCUGGAUUCGGUCAGCGGGAAAAACCGGAGCGGUGGAACCCUGGGAACGGAGCUGGGCUGGCUCCUGAGACAGGUCUGGGAAUGAUGGGAAUGAUGGGAAUGAUGGGAAUUCUGGGAAUGGUGGGAAUUCUGGGAAUGGUGGAACCCUGGGAAUGGAGCUGGGCUGGCUCCUGAGACAGGUCUGGGAAUAACAGGAAUGAUGGGAAUCCUGGGAAUGGUGGGAAUUCUGGGAAUGAUGGGAAUGGUGGAACCCUGGGAACGGAGCUGGGCUGGCUCCUGAGACAGGUCUGGGAAUGAUGGGAAUGACGGGAAUGACGGGAAUGAUGGGAAUGACGGGAAUUCUGGGAAUGAUGGGAAUGAUGGGAAUCCUGGGAAUUCUGAGAAUUCUGGGAAUGAUGGGAAUUCUGGGAAUGAUGGGAAUGACGGGAAUGACGGGAAUGAUGGGAAUGGAGCUGGGCUGGCUCCUGAGACAGGUCUGGGAAUAACGGGAAUGAUGGGAAUUCUGGGAAUGUUUGGGAAUGCUGGGAAUGAUGGGAAUGACGGGAAUUCUGGGAAUUCUGGGAAUGAUGGGAAUGGCGGAACCCUGGGAAUGGAGCUGGGCUGGCUCCUGAGACAGGUCUGGGAAUGACGGGAAUCCUGGGAGCGUUUGGGAAUUCUGGGAAUGUUGGAAAUCCUGGGAAUUCUGGGAAUGUUUGGGAACAGAGCUAGGCUGGCUCCUGAGGCUGCUCCAGGAAUUCUGGGAAUGUUGGGAAUUCUGGAGGGAUUGGGAAUGGUGGAACCCUGGGAAUGGAGCUGGGCUGGCUCCUGAGACAGGUCUGGGAAUGAUGGGAAUGACGGGAAUUCUGGGAAUUCUGGGAAUGAUGGGAAUCCUGGGAAUGAUGGGAAUCCUGGGAAUGACGGGAAUUCUGGGAAUGAUGGGAAUGGUGGAACCCUGGGAACGGAGCUGGGCUGGCUCCUGAGACAGUCCGGCUGUUGUCUCCGACACCUCUCGCUGGCCGGGAACCACCUGAGGGACAGCGACGUCCAGGAGCUGACGGGGUCAGGGACACCUGGGGACACCUGGGGACACCUGGGGACACCAAAACCCCACUGGGGACACCUGGGGACACCUGGGGACAGCUUGGGGACACCAAAACCCCACUGGGGACACUUUGGGGACACCUUGGGGACACCUGGGGACACCUGGGGACACCUUGGGGACACCUGGGGACACCUUGGGGACAUCUGGGGACACCAAAACUCCACUGGGGACACCUUGGGGACAUCUGGGGAUGCUUCGGGACACCUGGGGACACCUUGGGGACACCAAAACCACCCUGGGGACACCUUGGGGACAUCUGGGAAC